AUCACCGAUACAGCGGUCGCAAAUUUUCUGGCAGAAAUACGUCAUAGGUUAAGCGAGGAACAGGGUUGUUUUGUAAUGACGUCAUAAAGACAAUUUCGGUAACGUUCAUAUUACGUACACAAGUCGUUCAAUACUGAGAGGAUUUUAUGUCAGAAAUGAACAUAUUAUUCUUUAUUAGUCGUUAUCUAAUCAUGAGAGCAGAUUAAAUAUGUCAAAUUACACAUCUAUGUUCGAGCCGCUAACUGUCCGACCACCCAUCGUCUGUUAAUGGGCUGCCUAAUGACGUCACCAGCUGGUGACGUUUAUAGGCUUAUUCUUACUACAAAUGUGACAAUUUCCUAUUUAAAAUCAACCAGCAAACAGUUUAAUUAGAAUAGGGAUAACCCUACUGUGUUUUCCGAUUUGCAUGAAUCUCUUCUGCCGACCUCAUCAAACAAAUUAAGCAUUGAAGGAAUUGCGGUAGGGAUUAUCAUUGGGAUUGCUGUUUCUGCCUUGGUAGUGACUAUCUUUGUUAUUUUGUGGAAACGAGGUUUAGUGUGUGUCUCUUCAAAAUCUGAAAAGCAGCAAAAUGAAACCAAUUUAACUGUGUGUUUCAGAUAACCAAAUAAACAUAUACUAUGAACUGGGAACUCGAGAAGAUACGCCGUAUGCAAAAUUUGAACUUUAUGAGAAUGUCAAGAACUGAUGUAUACAGAUUUUGGGUGUAUUAAAUAUACAUUAAAUUAGUGUAUUAAACAAACAUCUUUAUUGGAGUAUUAAAUAAACAUAUUGGUGUAUUAAAUAUAUAUUUCAUUGCUAUAUUAAAUACACAUUUUAUUGGUGUAUCAAAUACAUAUUUUAUUGGUGUGUCUAAUAAACAGUUUAAGUUGUAUCAAAAUACAUACAGUAAUUAUUUCGAGUAUCAAAGAAAUAUUUGAUUGGUGGUAGAAUACAUUUUAUUGGUGUGUUAUAUACACGAGUUUCUUUCUUUUUGAAUGAAUGGAUGUCUGACAUCCCAUACCAGUUAUGUCAUGUGGAACAGAGGUAAAUAUAAACAAGAAGACACAAUAGCUGAUGUCGUUUUCGUGCUGGGGUGUCGUUAAGCAUUCAUUCAUUCAUUCAUUCAAGAAAUUCCAGGAAUACUUUACUCUUGUUUCCUGUUGGCAUGGCAAGCUGCCUAACCCGAUAACUGCCUGAGUAAUUCUUAGCGCUUGCUCACAAAAUAAAUCCCAAAAACUUAUAAUCAGACCAAAGUGUAGUAUACAAAGCAGAUAGUCAAACCACAUCAACAAUAGCACAGAACCGAACAAUCAACAUACAAUAUUACAAACGAAACAUGCUAAAAUAAUCAUCAAUAACGACAAAAGCAAAACACACAAACCAUACCGCCGAAAACAAAAUGGAUACGCAUUAAACAUUUUUAAUAAUGUGUGCUAUAUUCAUGUUAUAAAUUUGUUUUUGUCAUGUUUUUGUCUGUGGUUUGUUUAAUUUGAUUUAUCAGGAAAACAAAUAUUUAUUGUAUUUUAAACAUCUUUUGCAGAAACCAUCACUAUACAAGACAGUUGGUUACAGAAUAAGUUAUUUCAGUAUUAUUUUGUACAACCUACAUGUAACACUGAAACAUUUGUGCGUUUCCUGAUGGACUUUCAGAGGACAUGUCAUGAGGUGCAUAAUGACACAUCGCUGACUAAAUUGGCAUUUAAUGCAACACCUUACUUUCGUAAUGACACUAAUGGAUACAUUGAACUUGUAAAGUGCAUUGCGAUAGCUUAGGUGCGCGGUUAUUAAAUUAAUAUAUGAGUA